CACGUAGGGUGCGAGCGUUGUCCGGAAUUAUUGGGCGUAAAGAGCUCGUAGGCGGUGUGUCGCGUCGGCCGUGAAAACCUGCAGCUCAACUGUGGGCUUGCGGUCGAUACGGGCAUCACUGGAGUUCGGCAGGGGAGACUGGAAUUCCUGGUGUAGCGGUGAAAUGCGCAGAUAUCAGGAGGAACACCGGUGGCGAAGGCGGGAUCUCUGGGCCGAUGACUGACGCUGAGGAGCGAAA
rnacentral:rRNA from 1 species